CAGAGAUACACAGACCAAGACAGCAAAUUAACGUUAAUCCAACGAGUUAGCGUUAAUCCAGCUUGGAACAACAGGCCCCUGGUGUUGAUAACUGUCGAUUUACAGCAUAUACAAUUUAAUUUGUCAUUAUCUCAUUGUUCUUUUAGUUCCCAAGUCAAGAGCGCCGUUCUAGGCGUAAGCCCGGGACGGGCAAAGCGACUGCAAAGGAAAAUGGCCUUAACAACGUGUGCGCAGGAGGCUAGGCGGAAUUCCGCUCCACUCGCAAAAUUCCGCCCAGUGGAACAGGGAGUGUUGUGAAAUGUGAAUAGUAAUAUGUCACGUUUAUAUUGACAAAAAUGACGUGCUAUCGUUGCUAUAGUGACAAUAACGUUCCGAUAUUUUGGAUAUUUGAAUUCUAU